rnacentral:misc_RNA from 1 species
UCCGGUUUGUCACCGGCAGUCUCAUUAAAGUGCCCAACUAAAUGAUGGCAAUUAAUGACAAGGGUUGCGCUCGUUGCGGGACUUAACCCAACAUCUCACGACACGAGCUGACGACAGCCAUGCAGCACCUGUGUCCAGGCUCCCUUUCGGGCACCAAGCCAUCUCUGGCAAGUUCCUGGCAUGUCAAGGGUAGGUAAGGUUUUUCGCGUUGCAUCGAAUUAAUCCACAUCAUCCACCGCUUGUGCGGGUCCCCGUCAAUUCCUUUGAGUUUUAAUCUUGCGACCGUACUCCCCAGGCGGUCAACUUCGCGCGUUAGCUGCGUUACUAAAGAAGUCUCCUUCUCCAACAACUAGUAGACAUCGUUUAGGGCGUGGACUAC